rnacentral:rRNA from 1 species
CCUACGGGAGGCAGCAGUAGGGAAUCUUCCACAAUGGGCGAAAGCCUGAUGGAGCAACGCCGCGUGGGUGAAGAAGGUCUUCGGAUCGUAAAACCCUGUUGUUAGAGAAGAAAGUGCGUGAGAGUAACUGUUCACGUUUCGACGGUAUCUAACCAGAAAGCCACGGCUAACUACGUGCCAGCAGCCGCGGUAAUACGUAGGUGGCAAGCGUUAUCCGGAUUUAUUGGGCGGAAAGGGAACGCAGGCGGUCUUCUAAGUCUGAUGUGAAAGCCUUCGGCUUAACCGGAGUAGUGCAUUGGAAACUGGGUGACUUGAGUGCAGAAGAGGAGAGUGGAACUCCAUGUGUAGCGGUGAAAGGCGUAGAUAUAUGGAGGAACACCAGUGGCGAAGGCGGCUCUCUGGUCUGUAACUGACGCUGAGGUUCGAAAGCGUGGGUAGCAAACAGGAUUAGAUACCCUUGUAGUC